rnacentral:rRNA from 1 species
CUCGGAGUUUUGAUCCUGGCUCAGGACGAACGCUGGCGGAAUGCUUUACACAUGCAAGUCGAACGGUAGAGGGGGCAACCCCGUUCGAGAGUGGCGAACGGGUGAGUAAGUAUAUCGGAACGUGCCCAGUCGUGGGGAUAACGUAGCGAAAGUUACGCUAAUACCGCAUACGAUCUAAGGAUGAAAGCGGGGAUCGCAAGACCUUCGCGCGAUUGGAGCGGCCGAUAUCAGAUUAGGUAGUUGGUGA